rfam:Ciona savignyi cont_32836, whole genome shotgun sequence.
AUCGUCGUGGCCGAGUGGUUAAGGCGACAGACUAGAAAUCUGUUGGGCUCUGCCCGCACAGGUUCGAAUCCUGUCGGCGACG